rnacentral:rRNA from 1 species
AGAGUUUGAUCAUGGCUCAGGACGAACGCUGGCGGCGCGCUUAACACAUGCAAGUCGAGCGAGAACCAGGCCUUCGGGCUUGGGGAAAGCGGCGAACGGGUGAGUAACACGUGGGUAACCCACCCUUGGUACCGGGAUAGCCCGGGGAAACCCGGAUUAAUACCGGAUGGCCCAACAGCUCUUCGGGGCGGUUGGAAAAGGUAGCUUCGGCCUCCGACCAAGGACGGGCCCGCGGCGGAUUAGCUUGUUGGUGAGGUAACGGCCCACCAAGGCGACGAUCCGUAGCUGGUCUGAGAGGACGAUCAGCCACACUGGGACUGAGACACGGCCCAGACUCCUACGGGAGGCAGCAGUGGGGAAUCUUGCGCAAUGGGCGAAAGCCUGACGCAGCGACGCCGCGUGGGGGAAGAAGGCUUUCGGGUUGUAAACCCCUUUCAGGAGGGACGAAGCCACUCGGGUUAAUAGCCCAGAGGGUGACGGUACCUCCAGAAGAAGCCCCGGCUAACUACGUGCCAGCAGCCGCGGUAAUACGUAGGGGGCAAGCGUUGUCCGGAUUUAUUGGGCGUAAAGAGCGUGUAGGCGGUUUGGUAGGUCCGCUGUGAAAACUCGAGGCUCAACCUCGAGACGCCGGUGGAAACCAUCAGGCUAGAGUCCGGAAGAGGAGAGUGGAAUUCCUGGUGUAGCGGUGAAAUGCGCAGAUAUCAGGAAGAACACCCGUGGCUAAGGCGGCUCUCUAGUACGGUACUGACGCUGAGACGCGAAAGCGUGGGGAGCGAACAGGAUUAGAUACCCCCGUAGUCC